GAGAGCGUCAGCGAAUGAACAAGUGCAACAGAGAGAGAGAGAGAUGGCACCAGUGUGGACAAAAGAACAGCCGGCCACGACAGAGGUCCAUAAGGUCGCAGAUGAGGUGAAAUCCGACGCGGAGAGUCACAUCCACGCCUUAGAGCAGAUAUUCGUCGCGAAAACGUACCGUGAGCAGGACCAGACCAUCAUGCUGGGGAAACUUCUGCUGAUCAAGGUCGAUAUUGGAAACCCCAACAACUUCGUCCACAUGGAGGUGUUCGUUCCCAG